rnacentral:sRNA from 1 species
AGCAGCCGCGGUAAUUCCAGCUCCAAUAGCGUAUAUUAAAGUUGUUGCAGUUAAAAAGCUCGUAGUUGAAUUUCGGGGUUAGUAGGCUGGUCAUGCCACCGGUAUGUACUGGUCUUUCUGAUUCCUCCUUCCUGAUGAACUGUAAUGCCAUUAAUUUAGUGUUGCAGGAAGUCUGGACUGUUACCUUGAAAAAAUUAGUGUUUAAAGUAGGUUAACGCUUGAAUACAUUAGCAUGGAAUAAUGAAAUAGGACAUUAGAUUCUAUUUUGAGGAUUAAUGUAAUGGUUAAUAGGGAUAGUUGGGAGCAUUAGUAUUCAAUUAUCAGAGGUGAAAUUCUUGGAUUUAUUGAAAGACUAACUA